UCUGUCAGUGAUGAUCUAUUACUUCUAUGCUUGAGUUUAACGACCAUGAGAAAACUCUCAUGCACUACCAUCUGAGACAGA